ensembl:lncRNA
CUGGGCUGUAUAGUGAGUUAAAGGGCAGCCUGACAGACCCUGUCUCAAAAAAGGGGGAUCAAAAGCUAGAUAAUGCAGCCUUGAGCCUUGCUUCAUGUCUGAUCUUUUUCAGCAAUCUAAUCUCCCCUCACUGAGAACUUGGACAUAAAGGCCCAGUCUGGUUCUCAGAUGCCUUACUGUGUGGCCCAGUUCAAUCACAGUGAACAAGCAGUUGUCUGUGUGCACUGAUUUCUCACAUCAGGUGGCACGGGUUGGGAGCAUCUGUGUUUGACAGAAUGCUUUGCUGUGGUCUGGCAGCAUGGGCUGGAGGAGAUGGAGAUGAACUUGUGAACAUUAACUGUACUCGUAUAUGGCAACUGAAGGCAUGUUCAUCAUGCACGUUUGGAAUGUAUAUGUGGGGGGGUCCCAUGGAGUGUCUAUUGUUGUGGGUGCAGUGAUGGCAGUGUUGCCAUGCUCAAGCAGGUACCGAGGCUGCUCAUGUGCUUGGCCACCCCUUCAGCAACCAUCCACUCACACCCAGUCUUGUUCCAUCUGUUCCUUUCCUCACUACCCCUUACUUACCCUGUAUAAUUUUAAGCAAAUCCCAACUAUCACUUAGUCCAUAUGUAGUUGAUGUGAUUUUUUUUUUUCCAGUUCUAGGGAUCAAACUCAGGACCUCGCACUUUUGAGGCAGGUGUGGUGCCACUGAGCUAAAUCCCUGGCCCUGAUAAGUGAUUUUUGAAUGGAUAGGUGAAGGUGAAGAAAUAGGCAUCCUAUUUUUUAGACUUGAAGAAAAAGACUUUAAAAAAUGGGCAAAUGUCUAACUCUUGGGACAUGAAAGAACUCUUGCAUCUCUCCUGGGGCCGCAUCAGAUGAGUGUUGGCACUAGUUUUUAAUCUUACUGGAUUCUAGAGAGCGACAGAUACUGUUUUACAAGACUACACCUGGAAAUGCAGCACUGUUCUGUCUGGAUGUGGCUGGGCAAAGUGUUGCCUACAGUCAAUUACUUCCUUCCCUGAGCCAUGCCAUGCUAGUGCUGCCAAAGGCCUUCAGCCGAAUGUCAUCAGCACUGCUCAGCAGAGCACAAGAAUCAGUGAGGGUUCAAAACUACUCACUCGACCUUGUGCAGACCCACUGUGUCCACGUCCCCAGCUGACUGUGUUCCAUGACAGGGAGACCCAGGUUACAGAUGUGUGAAGAUAAAGAUGAGACCCCAACCUCGGGCCCAGACAAGUGCACUGCCGAGAAGUGCGCACUAGUGGGAGAAGCACGGUGUGGAGCCUGUGGAGCUCGUGGAGCCGGAGCCUCACUCAGGCUGCCCCCGCCUGGGUUUCAGCGGUCCUAGCCGACUGCCACCUGGGGUGGUGUCCCUGCCAGUGCUCAUGGCUACUCCCCAGCACACAGAAGCAGGACCACGAAUGUGGCCAUCAAAGGGACCAGCAGGACAGGACCACAGCCCCUGGGUGCCACUGAUCUGAGCCUGCCUGGGCCAGUCUCCACAGCAUCUGACGGCGGGAGGUCCUUGGCAGAUGUGGGCAGAGGAGCCAUCUGCUGGACAUAGCCCGUGAAGGUCUGACUUAGGUCCCCAGUGCUGCUCUAAUAUGGUCCUUGCUGGAACAUGGGACCAGGUCUAGAGUGAGGCUCUUGACCGGCCCCUCAUCCUCAUCCUGGGCAAGGGGUGGAGUGUGGGGUUGAGGUGCUCAAGACAUUCACAUGUUCACUUGUCUUUUUGCUUGCCACAAGGGGCACUGGCUGGCAGUAGCUUGGCCUCUGAAUGAUCUAAAUUGGGCUUUUCACAACUAUGGUGCUUGGAAAGAAUGUAUCUGAGCUGGCUCUGAAAAUCCUUGUUUGUCCUGUUCUGACUAGUGUCUCAGCCCCUGAGAACUUCUGGGAAGAUGGCAGAGUGGUGAGCAGCAGAGAAAGAGACUCUCUGAGAUCUGGUGUCCUGACAUUGGAAUAUAGCAGCAUGAAGAGGAGAGAAGUGGGUUCCUGGGACCAGGAAGGAUCUGAAAUGAGAAACUGAAGUCCAUGGGGAGAGUGGAGAGAUACUUCAAUGAAAAAGAGGAAGGUAGCAGGUGGUGCUUUGUCCUCGAGUCCAGACUCAUGGCGUAGAAAGGGCAGGUCGAACCUGCAGACACAUGGUGAUUACUGGCGACCCCAGAGGCCUCCACGAAGAAACACACCUGUGGAACUGAGCAGUGGACACAGCUGACUGCAGUAGCUGGUGAAUUAUUCAGGUUCAGAGAUGUCUCACCAAGGAGAGGACGCUUGGCCAGUAGCCAUCUUGGAGAGGGGCCAACUGAGCUCAGAACUCAGAACACCUAAGGGCGGGCUCCAUCUAGUGGCUCCUGGUGUCAUGGUGAAGGUGCCAAUCUCACAUUGGCAGGAGGUCAGGAAGCGGAGUUCAAGUCAGCAGGAGGCACACAGAUAGUUCUGGGCUCAAUAAAUCCAGUUCCAGCCUCAUUGUCAGAAAUAAGCGUGAACUUCAGUGGAACUGAAGGUCCAGGCUUGCUAGGAAAUCUACAGCUUGCCUUCUGGGAUUAAACAAGUGCAUUUGUACUCUCUACCCCUGCUGUCUACCAGUGACAGCAGAGAUAUGCCGUGAAUCGGACGUGUUUCUUUUUUUCCUUAUUUUCUUUUUUCUCUUUUUUGGCUUUUGUUCUAGUUGUGUUCUGGUUUUAGAUUGUUUGUUCUUGUUUUUACACAAGUGUGAACAUGGUCUAUUUUUUGUUGUGGUUCUGUUUUGUUCUCGUUUUUAUUUUUUCCUUCUCUCUUUCCUCCCGUCUUCAUCAGUUUCCCAAACUUUGUAUUAUCUUCCUUUGUGCUUCAGCCUUGCUUCUAAUCUCUUCUAUUUCUCUAUUUUCCCCCCAAAACCCUUUUAUUUUUUUUUGCUACCAGGGAUCGAACUCGGGUCCUUGCGCUUGUCCAAAACCCUUUUAAAAUCUUCUCUCCUUAGGGUAAAAUCACCAUUUUGAGGGCUUAAUUAUUGCAUACAAUUUUCUGGUUUUAGAUUUUGUUAUAUAACCACAAAUCUAGUUUAUAUGGUUAAAGGUGGCAAAUUAAUAGUUACCAGUUUGUCAUUUUCUAGGCUGUGUUUGAUGCUAUAGUUACUGCUGACUGUACUUUAGCCAAAGUAACAUAAUUGUGUUAAUCAGUUGUUCUUCCUGAUAUACCAAGGCUGAGAUUGCCUAAGGAUCUUGCAACAGACUCAAAACCCAAAAGCCAGCUAAACCUGGAAGACAUCUCUGAGGAGUAGUCAUUUCCUAAGGGUUCUGAAUAUUGACAAUAAAGUUACUCGCUAUAAGAAAUCUACAGGCAUCAACCCAGUAAUUAAACUAAAAAAAAGAAAAUGAGAAGACA